GGAAUCAUAAAACAAUACUAUAAUACGCAUAGCAACAAGCAGGUGACAAUAUAAAACGAAACAGACUAAAUGCCGGGCAAAAUAAAAUGUAUAAGUGCAUUUCUGGAUUUAAGGGUACAGGAUGUGCGCAUUCUCUGUCCUUUGAUAAGUCCACAAAUCAGGAGCCAGGCCGUCUUUAAGGGCAGCUCCAUAUAAAGCAAAUUAUAAUACUUCGGUGAAUAUGUUACCAGGGCAUGCAAAACAAUAGCAAGGGCCGUGCCACCCAGAAAGCAAUGCAGCUGUUACACAAACUGAAGCUGGUACAGCACACCUCUGGCCACAUAAAAAUGAAAAUCCAGAAGGACCCCCUGAAUCCAGGAACCUGGAAAAUUUAUAUCCUUUUUUAAAUUCAAAUUUAUAUUUAUAUUCAAGGGGAAGUAUGACCGUCUUAGAACAGGUAAAUCCACAAUUUCUUGGGGUGUUAAAACUCUCAGCAAAAACAGAUCCAUCUUAACUGGAUUGAAUUUGUACAUCCAGUGUCUAUAAUUAGGCCUUAACCAUUACACCUGCACCUGUUGCAAAGGAUAAAAGGGCUGAGUGAUGUUGAUAGUGCAACACCCUGUGUUCUUGGACAAUUUCCCCAGCAGUUGAAUGUAGAUGUUAAAUAACACAGGGAUUGGAAAACAAACUUGUGAGACUCCAUAACACAGCUGCCAAGUUUGUGGGUGGAGAUCAAGACCUGGUGAAACAAUUGUGUGCUUACAUCCCAAGCAGUCAGCUUGUGCGUCACCACAAAGCUUUUUUUAAAAAAAUGGUUGGUUGGAGCUGAACCUAGUAGAAAACGAAGUCUUGGGAUUGGACAUUGCUGCCUAAAAUGUACAUCUUAAGCAGCUAAAAAUGCUAAAUGCUGUCUCUGCCCACAUUUAACUGUUCACCUCAUAGUGCUCCUAAUAUGUAAUAUGUUUUGCAUGCCUUUAUUUGCUGUUUCAAUAAUAGUGCAGUACUACUGAAGAAAUAGCUAAAUUUUAAUGAGAAAUAUUAUGCUCACAUGUUUGGGUGUUUUGCAUCCUUAAAUAUUAUUGCAGUAGAAUAUACCAAUUUCAAUAUUUUAUUUUGCCAGAAUAAAUUCUGAUUGUGUUCGUUUUCAAAGCAGGCAAGCAUAUUCCACUGUUGGUCUUAACAAGUUAUUUGUUCAUAUAUUCUACUAGUUCAAGUACAACAUGCUUGUGAAUUUUUUUUUGCAUGCUAAAGUAUUUUGCUGCUAUUUAGCACAUUUCAGACAAAUGGGGGAAGAAGUAGAGCUAAGUAUCACACAUGCUUGUUCUACAUUCUAAGUUAUCUUAUUGGUAAUAACUCCAUACUUGUUUCAGUCUUUAACUUGUUUAGGCAUUCAAGUGAUCAAUCAAAAGUAAAUUGAUUGGUUGCUCUUGGCAUUUCUCUUACUUUCCUCUUAGGAAGUAUGAUCCUAUAAACAGAAUCAGAAAGACUAUUGCCAGUGGCCCAGGGUAGUCAGCAGAGGUAGAUUCCUGAAGCAGUUCUUGGGAUAUGUGGGAAAAGGUUAUAUUUGGGUCAAAAUCACUGAACCUAGAUUAUUUAUCCAUUGAUUGCACACCUAAAAACUGAAAACUAGGAGGAAUAUCAAUGUUAGUCAUAGUUGGAAUUGAUCCACUGAAAUCAAUGGACUUAACUCACUCCGAUGCAUUGAUUUCAGUGGGUCUACUCUUGGAAGUAUGACAAACAUAGGUUAUCAUCUUUUAUUUUGUGGUAAUGGUAAUCCAAUAGAUCGUUGUGCUCCCCACUAAAAUCAGUGAGCACAUCUGACUCUGUGUUGAGUUGUGGUCACUGUUCUGCUAUUGCAUGUCAGAAAUGGAAGCUACUAUUUGAUUUUCAAAGUUCUGAGUCUGUUUUAUCUAGUACUUUUCCCCCUUUGCAAGGUAAAGGUGAGUUCAGACAUAAAAUUUUGCUUCUCACACAGUUAUCUCAGGAGAUAGUUUUUCAUGUAGAGAUGGAAAGCAUUAAGUAGAUGUCGUGUGUUGUUGACCAGUGGUAAUAACUAGUUGUAGGAGCUGGGGAAAUCUUGCAAUUGUGGAGGUGGCUGUUGAUCAGUAACCAAGUUAACUUGCUAACACCUUUCAUUAGUAAUAUAUGUAAAGUUUGAACUGACUCUAAGAGAGUGUUUGAGCCAUUUGGUACUUAACUCUUGGGAUGCUAGCAGUUAGCCAAUGUUUGCCAAGGAGAAGCCUGGCCUGAUCUUAGUCCAGGGAUGGGCCUGUUCUAGAUGCUGCUAGACUACAGUUCACAUCACUCCCCGACCAUUCCCAAUUGGCUGGGGUUGAUUAGAUUUGGAGCCCAGCAACUAUUGGAGGACAACAGGUUCUUUAUCCUCUGCUACAGAAAGAGUUGAGCCACCACUGAACUUUGGACACAAUCCUUCCUGAAUGUUACUGCAAUAUAAUGCCUUCCUUCUUUCUGCCCCAAUUUUCCAUUAUAAAAGCAGUUUUAUAGUACGAAUGAUGUCACAAUUUGUUAUCAUGUUUCUAUUUAGAUAGGAUUUGGUAACUAAAAUGCAAAGAUCACCAGUGUUUGUCCUAAACGUUGCUAUAGUUGCAACACAUAUCGGAGAUGAACAUGUGGCAACUUUGACUAUAUUUUAGAUGUGUUCGUAGUAGUAAUAAUUGGUUGAUGUGUGUGAGAGAGAGAGAGUGAGUGCCACUUUCAGGUUUGUUUAACGUCUCUGAAAAUUUGUAAAACCAAAUGACACACCAACUUAUAAUCAAAGAAAUCAUAAUUGUAACCCUUAAAUUGAACAGUUAAUUUCAGCCUCCUUUACAUAAGACUUCCCUAGAUGUUAAGUAAUUAAUACAUAGAAGCGUGCCAUAGGUGUCCAUAGCCACCAAGAGAUAGUUUUGUAGUAAAUUGUAAAUAGUCUAUGUUUUACAGCAGCUAAUUUCUUACGUUUAUCUCUUAACAUGACGUACCUAAUGGGUGAUUUACUCCAUGCCUAUAUAGCUUGAAUUGCAUACAAGGCUUUGCCCAUUUACAGAGACCUAUGACAAAUUUUCCUGUAAAUUCAAAUUUGCUCUUUUAGACUUAGCAUGCUCAUUCUGUAUGUUAAUAAUUACUGAAAGCUUUUCUUUAAAAGUCAUCCCUGUGUUGGCCUUUUAGAUAGGUUUGUUUCCAAUUUGUCUUCUCCAUUAAUGUUUCUGAAAAGCACUAAAAACCAUACCAUUAGAAGCAAGGCUGCCAAGAAUACUUUUAAGAAAAAAUCUGCUUCUUGGUAUCCCUGCUUUUAAAAAACCAAAUAGUGCAGGGUGCGAUAGACUCUGCAGGAAAUGUUAGGGAGCGAAGUAUCUUACCAUUAUGGCAGCCCUAAAGACUUUCAUCCGCACUUGAAGACACAAACCCUUUGACGUUCGAUCAAAAAGCUUUUGCAAAGUGUGUUCAGACAAAUUGUUCUUUUACUUUCCAGUAGGUCUUAUAUCACUUAGCUUGAGUAUUUGAGGUAAACAUGGUAGUUAUGGGGUAUAUUUUACAUUCUUGGAUUAAUUUUAUUAUAUAUUUAAUAUAUUGAUAGCUGUAAAAUCAUUUGUACAUAGUUAAGGUAUCGUAAUGCAACCCCUGCAGUAGACUAGGCUGUGGGGACUGUAGAGUACUAUGAAGCAGUUUUGCCUACUCGCUGCUGCUUAGUUCCACAUUCUUGGAGCCUCUAGUGACCUGUACUUCCACUUUUCCCUUAGCUUCCGUUUGAAAGGGCAGAAUUUGCCGUAAAAACAGCUGCGUGAAUGGCUGACUGAUGUACCUUGGAGUCAUUUUCACAGGGCUAUGUAGCUGACCUCAAAACACUUUCCAAGUCAGCUUCCUAUGCUAAAGUUCAUUUGAUCUUAGAAAAGCAUAACUUUUUCUUUACACAGGAGAACGCGGAUAAAUAUAUACCAUUAACAUGUUUUAAAACCCUGAUAAUAUAAUGUAAGAAAAUACUUAAAUUCUCUUGUAAUCCUAUGCUUGAAAUAUUUAUGCUGCAGCUGUAAAAUAUCUCUGUCCAGGAAAUGGCAGCUUGAUCUCUUUGUUAUACUUGCUCUGCAACGUUUUCAUCCAUUACAUCUGUGGUAAUGUGAGGCAGUCCAUAAUUCCCGUCCUGGAAUUCUUUUGAUAUUUUUUGUUGUUGCAGAUGCUCUCUAUUAUAAAAGCAAAAGUCACACAUUAAACAGAUUGCACAACUUUUUUUCUUUUUUGUAAACCCACAAUAUAGAGGAUACUUUGAAUUCUCUGGUGCUCUGAAAUAUUCAAGCACAGUGAAACAAGUUCUUAUUUCCCCCCAAAUGAAUAUCCUGAUAAGUAUAGCAAUCCAUUAUAUUCUUUCAAAUACCUCACCUUAAAGAGAAAGGAAGCACAGUUGUAAUGUAUCUAAAUCACUCUAGUGAAUCCAUACAAAUUAUUGGUUUGUAAAUGUCCGGAUGUAGCUGUGUUGCCUUCCAGAAUAAGCAAGUCUAUGACAAACUUCUAUUUUGUAUGUGUUCAUGAUGCUUUUGAAAGUAUUUAUUGAUGCUGAUACCUUAAUAUAUUUCCACAAUCUAGAGCAGCAUGUGACCACCUUCUGUUUGCUCAGCAGGACCUUUGGUAUUUACCUGGACCAGCAGUUUAUCAUGCCCAUACAGCAAAUCAUUUUUGAAGUUUAAAAAUUAGUUUGCAAUAUGUCCUAUGGUUUGCUGUUCAUAUAUAUCAUAUAUGGUUUGCUGUCCAGCUGGGCAUAUACAAAAGUCAUUGGACAAACAUAAAGUACCUUUCUGGAUUGCGACAAGAUCUUUAAAGAAAAUAAUUUAUAGACUUAAUAGGUCCUGCAAAACAUUCAAGGCAACAGGUGGGAUUACUGGAGUUUAAAAAAAUCAAAAUCAAUUUUUUUAAAAAAAGGUUGGUGCAUACCAAUAAUUUUUGACGUUUUGCCAAUGAUGUACAGUUCUACGGUUGGAGUUGCUGUAAUUGCAUUACAUGACACACAAAGCUGGCCUCUACCUCAUGUGAUACAAAAACAGAUAUUUUGUAUGGUUUUAGUAAAACAAGAUACAUUUAUCUGGUCACUUAGUUUACAAAUUUUGAAUUCUAUUUAUUGAAACAUGACAUACUGUGCUCUUAGCUUAUACCUCAAUUGUAUUUUGUGCAGUUUUCCAUUUUUCAUGCAUUGUAAAUAUCCUGUAUAGAUUGUGGAUCCACAUACAAAUAAAAACAAUUCUAAUGUCAAGC